rnacentral:tRNA from 1 species
GGAGGAUUACCCAAGUCCGGCUGAAGGGAACGGUCUUGAAAACCGUCAGGCGAUGAGAGUCGCGCGUGGGUUCGAAUCCCACAUCCUCCU